rnacentral:rRNA from 1 species
AGUGAACGCUGGCGGUAGGCCUAACACAUGCAAGUCGAACGGCAGCACAGUAAGAGCUUGCUCUUACGGGUGGCGAGUGGCGGACGGGUGAGGAAUACAUCGGAAUCUACUUUUUCGUGGGGGAUAACGUAGGGAAACUUACGCUAAUACCGCAAACGACCUACGGGUGAAAGCAGGGGAUCUUCGGACCUUGCGCGAUUGAAUGAGCCGAUGUCGGAUUAGCUAGUUGGCGGGGUAAAGGCCCACCAAGGCGACGAUCCGUAGCUGGUCUGAGAGGAUGAUCAGCCACACUGGAACUGAGACACGGUCCAGACUCCUACGGGAGGCAGCAGUGGGGAAUAUUGGACAAUGGGCGCGAGCCUGAUCCAGCCAUACCGCGUGGGUGAAGAAGGCCUUCGGGUUGUAAAGCCCUUUUGUUGGGAAAGAAAAGCAGCAGGUUAAUACCCCGCUGUUCUGACGGUACCCAAAGAAUAAGCACCGGCUAACUUCGUG